ncrna:unclassified sequences freshwater-2 RNA
CAUAUAAAUCUUUAUAUGUUCUUAUGCGGAACCAAACCGCGUAGGCCUAGAACGCCACUUAAUUUAAGGAGAAACAAAAUG